GUGCUGUGUUUACAGCAGAGAGUGGAGUCCUGGUUUCCCUGGGGGCAGGAUGGUUGUGUCUCACAGUCAGGCUUUUCUCUGGGAACAGGCUGUGCGCGCACCGAAAAGCACACGGAGGAACUGGAGCCUUGGCAGGAGCAGGAGGGUGCCCAGAGCAGCUCUGCAAGGAAAGUGAGUGCCUUCACUCCUCUGUCAUCACCAGUCCCUGAGAGCCAUCACCACCCACCAACAGUUCCUUGAGAUAAGGCUGAGCCAGCUGGGAGAAGAAAGCCUUUGAUAUUCCCUGCCUUGCUGAGGAAAACACGACACAGCCUGAGUGUUUGAGGAAGGGAAAGGCUACGAAAGCAGACUGGGAGACAUAAUGUGGUAAACUUCAGAUCUGCCAGAUUUUGUUUUGGUAGCCAAUGUUUGAUGAUAGGUUACCACAUGAUGGGAAUUGGAUUGCAGACUUUGCCAACUCUUUACCCAAACAUCUAAAAUCUUUCAAAAUGUUUUUCUCCAUCAAUAUUCCAGUAAAUUAUGCUUAU